UGCUGUCGGUUUUAGGGCACGCAUCAAAGGAGGUCGCGCUCAUUCGCGUUAGCUCUCAAACGGUGUGCUUAGCUACGCACACUUAUUUGCCUAUUUUGUCUUCAGUUCAGUCAGAGUCGCGACAAGCUUAGCGGCGGGAGUUUUUGUAUAAUAUUUUUGAACCCUGCUUAACAAAAUUAAAGCAAGCAACAAAUCUGGUGCUGGCACAAAUGACAUUUUUAAACCAAACUGGUUUGCAUUUGAAAAAAUGCAAAAUUUUCUUCUACCAGUAUACCAGAUAGGAAGAACCCUAAACUCAGAGGAAGCAGCUCGCUAAAAUAACCAUAUAGGCCACAACCGCAGCCGCUUGCUCAUCGUCAUUAUUCACAUUUUUAUUAAAAAAAACCACUACUACUCGUCUCCGCUACUGUUCUAUAACUGAGGCCCUGGCCCUGUGGCGAACGUUUGCCAACAAAGAUGCGAUGUGGAAUAUAUCCCGAAUGCCGCAGCGUGUGGGAGGGUAGCCGAAGCCGCAAUACGAAGGUACAUUCGCCGAAUACACACAUCGGGUGGGGCCGGCUUUAUACCUAAUGCGAACGUAAUUCUCUUUGGUCUCUAGGGGCACAGACCUCUGAAGCAAAGGAUAAAAAGGCAAGAAAACCGUUUUCAAGAACCACGAGGCUUGAAAUAUGUAUAACGAGAACUCUAUGUAACUGCUACAGAUAAUAAAUAUUUUGGGAUAGUAACAAAUGAUCUUUUUGCAUUUCAUUAUUUUAUAUCACAAAAUCUUAACAUUACCUACUUUGUGAUAAAUUAAAACUAUUAUAACUGUUAUAAAGAAUAAAUGUACAUGUUUCCUAAAUAAUAUAUUUUAUGUAUUUGUAAUCUACCGAAUAUGUAUUGAUAGUUGCGGUGUAAUAGUAGGUAUUCUUUAUCUCACCCCCCUGUGUUUUGUUACAACAACAUAGGUGGUCACCUGGGUUGAUUACCAAUGAUAAGAAUAGCUGCUUUA